AGGCUGAAGUUUACCCUUAGAUCAUAUGUGGACUUAUUAAAACUAGAAGAUGUUCUUCGGCAGCAUCCAUUUUACUUCAAAGCAGAAAGAAUUGCUAUUGAGAUCUAUUUGAAGCUUCAUUACAACCCUCUUACAGAUGAGAAUAAAGGACACAAAGCUGAUACAGCAAAUAUGUCUGACAAAGAGUUAAAGAAACUACGUAAUAAACAAAGAAGAGCUCAAAAGAAAGCCCAGCUAGAAGAAGAGAAAAAAAUGCAGAAAAAGAAAAGCAGCAGAGAAAUCAGAAAAAGAAAAUAGAUGAUGAUGAUGAUGGUAUUGGAGGCCCCAAAGAAGAACUUAUCCCAGAGGAAUUGGCCAAGGUUGAAACUCCAUUGGAAGAAGCUAUUAAGUUUUUAACACCGUUGAAGAGUUUGGUGAAGAACAAGAUAGAAACUCAUCUUUUUGCUUUGAGAUUUACUUUAGGAAAGAAAAGUUUCUUUUGAUGCUACAAUCAGUAAAGCCGGCAUUUGCUAUUGAUUCUAGUCAUCCCUGGCUUCAUGAAUGCAUGAUUCGACUCUUUAAUUCUGGGUGUGAAAGUAAAGACUAACCUGAAACAGAUAGAACAGUAUUAGUAUAAGAAAUGAAUUGUGUUUUUGGAGCAACAAAACAAAAGAAUUUUAAUGAAACUUUUCUGAAAAGGAAUUGGGAUUCAGUGCCACAGAGAUUAUCAGCUGCCAAAAUGGUGUAUUAUUUAGAGUCCUCUAGUCAGAAAUGAGCAGUAGAGCUGGCAACAACACUUGAUGGGUCCCUCACCAACAGAAACCUUCAAACCUGCAUGGAGGUGUUGGAAGCCUUGUGUGAUGGUAGCCUAAGAGACUGUAAAGACGCUGCUGAAACUUAUAGAGCAAAUUGUCAUAAGCUUUUCCCUUAUGCUUUGGCUUUCAUGCCCCCAGGAUAUGAAGAGGAUAUGAAGAUAACAAUUAAUAGAGAUAGCUCUGCAGAAACUGAAGUACUGGCCAAUGAAAUUUGAACAUCAUUAAACAAGCAAAUGGAAUGACUUUGGACCAUAUUAGUAUAUAAUAUUUUUGUCACGCACCUGCUGCAUU